rnacentral:rRNA from 1 species
GACGAACGCUGGCGGCGUGCCUAAUACAUGCAAGUCGAACGCAGUGGGGACGGGUGAGUAACACGUGGGUAACCUCCCAUCAGAGUGGAUAACACUUGGAAACAGGUGCUAAACCGAUACUGAUGGAUGGACCCGCGGUGCAUUAGCUCGUGGGUGAGGUAGCGGCUCACCAAGGCCACGAUGCAUAGCCGCCCUGAGAGGGUGGUCGGCCACAAGUGACAUGUGACACGGCCCAUACUCCUACGUGAGGCAGCAGUAGGGAAUCUUCGGCAAUGGACGAGAGUCUAACCUAGCAUCGCGGCAUGAGUGAUGGAGGUUGUCGGAUCGUAAGUCUCUGUUGUUAGUGGAGGGGUAUCUAACCAGAAAGCCACGGCUAACUACGUGCCAGCAGCCGCGGUAAUUC